rnacentral:rRNA from 1 species
CCUACGGGAGGCAGCAGUGGGGAAUAUUGCACAAUGGAGGGAACUCUGAUGCAGCGACGCCGCGUGAGGGAAGAAGGUUUUCGGAUUGUAAACCUCUGUCUUCGGUGACGAAACGAGACGGUAGCCGAGGAGGAAGCCACGGCUAACUACGUGCCAGCAGCCGCGGUAAUCCGUAGGUGGAAAGCGUUGUCCGGAAUUACUGGGUGUAAAGGGAACGUAGGCGGGAGGGCAAGUUGAAGGGUUAAGGUACGGGCUCACCCUGUGACAGCGUUCAAAACUGUUUUUCUUGAGUGGAGUAGAGGUAAGCGGAAUUCCUAGUGUAGCGGUGAAAUGCGUAAAUAUUAGGAGGAACACCAGUGGCGAAGGCGGCUUACUGGGCGGUAACUGACGCUGAGGCUCGAAAGCGUGGGGAGCAAACAGGAUUAGAUACCCCUGUAGUC